rnacentral:rRNA from 1 species
GACAGAGGGUGCAAACGUUGUUCGGAAUUACUGGGCGUAAAGCGUGUGUAGGCGGCCGCGCAAGUCGGAUGUGAAAGCCCCGGGCUCAACCCGGGAAGUGCACCCGAUACUGCAUGGCUCGAGUACUGGAGAGGUUGGUGGAAUUCUCGGUGUAGAGGUGAAAUUCGUAGAUAUCGAGAGGAACACCGGUGGCGAAGGCGGCCUUCUGGACAGUGACUGACGCUGAGACGCGAAAGCGUGGGGAGCAAACAGG